UAGAAAAAGGAACAAAUCAGAAAAAGAGAGAGUUUCACAGUGAAGGUUAAAUAGACAAAACAAUAUUGUGAAAUUGCAAUUAACUAGAUCAUGACAAAUGUCUAACAUUGCACAAUUGAAUAGCUUGUAGGUCAUAUUUACCCUCCUCAAAAGAGGGAAACACUAAUAACACCUGCCCUGGCUCCUGCAGCCUUUCAGAGGCUGAGACCGAGGGAGGGAUGAAGAGACCAUGUCACUGAAACAGAAAACAAAAUAAAUACAAAUUUUAAUUUAAACAAACAAAUAAUGAUAAAUAAUAAUAUAAAAUAAAUGAAUUAACUAAUAAAGAAAUACAAAAAACAUAAAAACAAUAGAAUUAUGCAAAUCCCAUGCCAACCACUGAGCUGCACCCCAGGUCAUGGUGAGUGAAAGGUAGAAUGUAAAAGAACAAUCACUGCCCUUAACAACUACUUAACUUUUUCCUGUGUAUGCAGUAGGUUUUUUACAGAUAACAAACUGCUUUGAAGGACAGUGCAUGAGGAGAUGGAGUCCAGCAACCCAUCGCUGCUGUCCUCACUGUUAACCUAAAGCAUCCAUGUACCUGGGAGUGGGAGUCAGCUCACCAAGAGGCCACUGCUUCACCAUUAAAUGACCUGGACCUGGAAACAAACAUGUUCCAGAGAUGAAGAGAAAGAACUCCAGCAACACACCGCUCCUCACAUGUAUGAUAUGUGUCUCUGUUUUAUUGUGUAUUAGUGGAGUGCUAUGACGAGAUGUGAAGUUGGGCACACGUCAGUGAAGCAACAAGAUACAUCAGCAGUCAUCUUGAGCUAGAGUCAAACAUAUUCGGACUCCAGCAACACUUGACUGUGCUCUGCACAGCUAAGCCACACUGAGAGGCUA